rnacentral:rRNA from 1 species
UCUGGUUGAUCCUGCCAGUAGUGAUAUGCUUGUUUCAAAGAUUAAGCCAUGCAUGUCUAAGUAUAAGCGAACUUAUACAGUGAAACUGCGGAUGGCUCAUUAAAACAGUUUGAAUUUAUUUGAUGAAUGUAUGAGAAUACUACUUGGAUAACCGUAGUAAUUCUAGAGCUAAUACAUGCAACGACGCCCGACCGUUUCACUACGGAAGGGCUGUAUUUAUUGGAUACCAAAACCAUCCUUCCCUCGGGAAGUUUUGUUUGAUGAUUCACAAUAACUGAUCGGAUCGCCACUGUGGUGGCGACAGGUCAUUCAACAUUCUGCCCUAUCAGCUUUCGAUGGUUGUGUAGUGGACAACCAUGGCCAUAACGGGUAACGGAGAAUCAGGGUUCGAUUCCGGAGAAGGAGCUUGAGAAUUGGCUACUACAUCUAAGGAAGGCAGCAGGCGCGCAAAUUACCCAAUCCCGAUUCGGGGAGGUAGUGACAAAAAAUAACAAUACCGGGCCUUUUUGGGCUUGGUAAUUGGAAUGAGGGAGAGUUAAACGGACCAUCGAGUAUCCAUUGGAGGGCAAGUCUGGUGCCAGCAGCUGCGGUAAUACCAGCUCCAAUAGCGUAUAUUAAAGUUGUUGCAGUUAAAAAGCUCGUAGUUGGACUUGUGUGCGCUGUCCGCGGGUGGCCUGCGCCCAAAAGGGCGUUUCGGUUCGGCCCCGGUGGCGCCUUGAAAUCUGCAGCUGGGGGGACGUUGGCCUUAACUGGUCGGCGACCGCACGCCGGCUGCUCGGUUACUGUGAGAAAAUUAGAGUGUUCAAGGCAGGCAUUGGGUGCAAUUGAAUACAUUAGCAUGGAAUAAUAAAAUAUGGCUCCUGCCGUAUUUUGUUGGUUUUGACUGGUGGGAGUAAUGAUUGAUAGGGACGGUUGGGGGUGCUAGUAUUGAGCGGCCAGAGGUGAAAUUCAUGGAUUCGCUCAAGACUAACUUAUGCGAAAGCAUUCACCAAGGACGUCCUCUUUAAUCAAGAUCGAAAGUUGGGGGAUCGAAGACGAUCAGAUACCGUCGUAGUCUCAACCAUAAACUAUGUCGACUUGGGAUCGGCGGUAGUUUUUUCAUUAAGACACUGUCGGGACCACGGGAGAAAUCAAAGUGUCUGGACUCUGGGGGAAGUAUGGUCGCAAGGCUGAAACUUGAAGGAAUUGACGGAAGGGCACCACCAGGAGUGGAGCCUGCGGCUUAAUUUGACCCAACACGGGGAAACUUACCAGGUCCAGAGAUGUAGAGGAUUGACAGAUUGAAGCUCUUUCUUGAUCACUUCGGUGGUGGUGCAUGGCC